rnacentral:rRNA from 1 species
GACGAACGCUGGCGGCGUGCUUAACGCAUGCAAGUCGAACGGAAAGGCCCUGCUUUUGUGGGGUGCUCGAGUGGCGAACGGGUGAGUAACACGUGAGUAACCUGCCCUUGACUUUGGGAUAACUUCAGGAAACUGGGGCUAAUACCGGAUAGGAGCUCCUGCUGCAUGGUGGGGGUUGGAAAGUUUCGGCGGUUGGGGAUGGACUCGCGGCUUAUCAGCUUGUUGGUGGGGUAGUGGCUUACCAAGGCUUUGACGGGUAGCCGGCCUGAGAGGGUGAACGGCCACAUUGGGACUGAGAUACGGCCCAGACUCCUACGGGAGGCAGCAGUGGGGAAUAUUGCACAAUGGGCGGAAGCCUGAUGCAGCAACGCCGCGUGCGGGAUGACGGCCUUCGGGUUGUAAACCGCUUUCGCCUGUGACGAAGCGUGAGUGACGGUAAUGGGUAAAGAAGCACCGGCUAACUACGUG